GGAGAGGUGGCCGAGCGGUUGAAGGCGACGGUUUGCUAAAUCGUUGUAGGGUGUUAAGCUCUACCGCGGGUUCGAAUCCCGCCCUCUCCG
rnacentral:tRNA from 1 species